rnacentral:rRNA from 1 species
GACGAACGCUGGCGGCGUGCUUAACACAUGCAAGUCGAACGGACAGGCCCUGCUUUUGUGGGGUGCUCGAGUGGCGAACGGGUGAGUAACACGCGAGUAACAUGCCCUUGACUUUGUGAUAACUUCAGGAAACAGGGGAUCAUACCGGAUAGGAGCUCCUGCUGCAUGGUGGGGGUUGGAAAGUUUCGGCGGUUGGGGCUGGACUCGCGGGUUAUCAGCUUGUUAGUGGGGUAGUGGUUUACCAAGGUUUUGACGGGUAGCCGGCCUGAGAGGGUGACCGGCCACAUUGGGACUGAGGUACGGCCCAGACGGCUACGGGAGGCAGCAGUGGGGAAUAUUGCGCAGUGGGCGGAAGCGUGAUGCAGCAACGCCGGGUGCGGGAUGACGGCCUUCGGGUUGUAAACCGCUUUCGACUGUGACGAAGCGGGAGUGACGGUAAUGGGUAAAGAAGCACCGGCUAACUACGUG